rnacentral:misc_RNA from 1 species
CUGGGACAAGCAUAUGAGAUGAUGGGCAUGCCCUUCUAUGCUCUUCACUAUUUUAAGAAGUCUGUUUUCUUGCAGUCAAAUGAUUCUCGGUUGUGGAUUGCCAUGGCUCAGUGUUAUGAAACUGAUCAGCUUCACAUGCUUGAGGAGGCAAUCAAGUGUUACAGAAGGGCUGCAAGUUGUAAUGACAGAGAGGCAAUUGCCUUGCACCAAUUAGCAAAGCUCCAUGCUGAGCUUGGACGUUCUGAAGAGGCAGCACUUUACUACAAGAAGGACUUGGAGAGGAUGGAAGCUGAAGAGAGAGAAGGACCAAAUAUGGUUGAAGCUCUGCUGUUUCUUGCCCAACACUGUAGAGAGCAGAAGAGAUUUGAAGAAGCAGAGAUGUAUUGUACCCGUCUUCUGGAUUACACUGGCCCGGAGAAGGAAACAGCAAAGAGUAUGCUUCGAGGAAUGAGAACAGCAGAAUCCAGUUUCCCU